CUUUAAAAAUCUUUUUCUCAAGAAUGACAAAGCCAUAAUUCAUCAUAUUUAUAUGGAAGCAUGCUCAGGCAGUGUAAAUUCAAGUUUUUUUUUCAAAUCAUGACCACUAGGGGUAGGGCGGGGCCAAAAUGGCCGACCAAAGUUUUUAAAGGUAUAUAU